rnacentral:rRNA from 1 species
AUCCCUCCGUAGGUCAACCUGCGGAGGGAUCAUUACCGAGUUUACAACUCCCAAACCCAUGUGAACAUACCUAUUGUUGCUUCGGCGGGAUUGCCCCGGGCGCCUCGUGUGCCCCGGAUCAGGCGCCCGCCUAGGAAACUUAACUCUUGUUUUAUUUUGGAAUCUUCUGAGUAGUUUUUACAAAUAAAUAAAAACUUUCAACAAAGGAUCUCUUGGUUUUGGCAUCGAUGAAGAACGCAGAGAAAUGCGAUAAGUAAUGUGAAUUGCAGAAUUCAGUGAAUCAUCGAAUCUUUGAACGCACAUUGCGCCCGCCAGUAUUCUGGCGGGCACGCCUGUUUGAGMGUCAUUUCAACCCUCAUGCCCCUAGGGCGUGGUGUUGGGGAUCGGCCAAAGCCCGCGAGGGACGGCCGGCCCCUAAAUCUAGUGGCGGACCCGUCGUGGCCUCCUCUGCGAAGUAGUGAUAUUCCGCAUCGGAGAGCGACGAGCCCCUGCCGUUAAACCCCCAACUUUCCAAGGUUGACCUCAGAUCAGGUAGGAAUACCCGCUGAACUUAAGCAUAUCAAUAAGCGGAGGA